UUAAGCGACUAAGCGUACACGGUGGAUGCCCUGGCAGUCAGAGGCGAUGAAGGACGUGCUAAUCUGCGAUAAGCGUCGGUAAGGUGAUAUGAACCGUUAUAACCGGCGAUUUCCGAAUGGGGAAACCCAGUGUGUUUCGACACACUAUCAUUAACUGAAUCCAUAGGUUAAUGAGGCGAACCGGGGGAACUGAAACAUCUAAGUACCCCGAGGAAAAGAAAUCAACCGAGAUUCCCCCAGUAGCGGCGAGCGAACGGGGAGCAGCCCAGAGCCUGAAUCAGUGUGUGUGUUAGUGGAAGCGUCUGGAAAGGCGCGCGAUACAGGGUGACAGCCCCGUACACAAAAAUGCACAUGCUGUGAGCUCGAUGAGUAGGGCGGGACACGUGGUAUCCUGUCUGAAUAUGGGGGGACCAUCCUCCAAGGCUAAAUACUCCUGACUGACCGAUAGUGAACCAGUACCGUGAGGGAAAGGCGAAAAGAACCCCGGCGAGGGGAGUGAAAAAGAACCUGAAACCGUGUACGUACAAGCAGUGGGAGCACGCUUAGGCGUGUGACUGCGUACCUUUUGUAUAAUGGGUCAGCGACUUAUAUUCUGUAGCAAGGUUAACCGAAUAGGGGAGCCGAAGGGAAACCGAGUCUUAACUGGGCGUUAAGUUGCAGGGUAUAGACCCGAAACCCGGUGAUCUAGCCAUGGGCAGGUUGAAGGUUGGGUAACACUAACUGGAGGACCGAACCGACUAAUGUUGAAAAAUUAGCGGAUGACUUGUGGCUGGGGGUGAAAGGCCAAUCAAACCGGGAGAUAGCUGGUUCUCCCCGAAAGCUAUUUAGGUAGCGCCUCGUGAAUUCAUCUCCGGGGGUAGAGCACUGUUUCGGCAAGGGGGUCAUCCCGACUUACCAACCCGAUGCAAACUGCGAAUACCGGAGAAUGUUAUCACGGGAGACACACGGCGGGUGCUAACGUCCGUCGUGAAGAGGGAAACAACCCAGACCGCCAGCUAAGGUCCCAAAGUCAUGGUUAAGUGGGAAACGAUGUGGGAAGGCCCAGACAGCCAGGAUGUUGGCUUAGAAGCAGCCAUCAUUUAAAGAAAGCGUAAUAGCUCACUGGUCGAGUCGGCCUGCGCGGAAGAUGUAACGGGGCUAAACCAUGCACCGAAGCUGCGGCAGCGACACUAUGUGUUGUUGGGUAGGGGAGCGUUCUGUAAGCCUGUGAAGGUGUACUGUGAGGUAUGCUGGAGGUAUCAGAAGUGCGAAUGCUGACAUAAGUAACGAUAAAGCGGGUGAAAAGCCCGCUCGCCGGAAGACCAAGGGUUCCUGUCCAACGUUAAUCGGGGCAGGGUGAGUCGACCCCUAAGGCGAGGCCGAAAGGCGUAGUCGAUGGGAAACAGGUUAAUAUUCCUGUACUUGGUGUUACUGCGAAGGGGGGACGGAGAAGGCUAUGUUGGCCGGGCGACGGUUGUCCCGGUUUAAGCGUGUAGGCUGGUUUUCCAGGCAAAUCCGGAAAAUCAAGGCUGAGGCGUGAUGACGAGGCACUACGGUGCUGAAGCAACAAAUGCCCUGCUUCCAGGAAAAGCCUCUAAGCAUCAGGUAACAUCAAAUCGUACCCCAAACCGACACAGGUGGUCAGGUAGAGAAUACCAAGGCGCUUGAGAGAACUCGGGUGAAGGAACUAGGCAAAAUGGUGCCGUAACUUCGGGAGAAGGCACGCUGAUAUGUAGGUGAAGUCCCUCGCGGAUGGAGCUGAAAUCAGUCGAAGAUACCAGCUGGCUGCAACUGUUUAUUAAAAACACAGCACUGUGCAAACACGAAAGUGGACGUAUACGGUGUGACGCCUGCCCGGUGCCGGAAGGUUAAUUGAUGGGGUCAGCGCAAGCGAAGCUCUUGAUCGAAGCCCCGGUAAACGGCGGCCGUAACUAUAACGGUCCUAAGGUAGCGAAAUUCCUUGUCGGGUAAGUUCCGACCUGCACGAAUGGCGUAAUGAUGGCCAGGCUGUCUCCACCCGAGACUCAGUGAAAUUGAACUCGCUGUGAAGAUGCAGUGUACCCGCGGCAAGACGGAAAGACCCCGUGAACCUUUACUAUAGCUUGACACUGAACAUUGAGCCUUGAUGUGUAGGAUAGGUGGGAGGCUUUGAAGUGUGGACGCCAGUCUGCAUGGAGCCGACCUUGAAAUACCACCCUUUAAUGUUUGAUGUUCUAACGU
rnacentral:rRNA from 1 species